CCCAUUGGUGCUCUGCCCUUCUCUUCUCUGUGCGACCCACCUCCUUCGCUCUUGCACUUAUUCUACCUUCGAUGGCGCUCGCAACGUCUCUUUGCCAUCUAUGGCUUCUCCGCGCCACACCCCUGCCGCCAUCUCUUCUUGCUCCUCCUCCAUCUUUGAUGGAACUUAAAAAAUAUUUAAAAAAAAUUAAAUAAUUUUAAAAUUUUAAAAAAUUGUCGCACCAGUCGUAUAUAAGAAUUUUUAUCCGGCUAAAAUUUGAAUGUUUCGUAUUUAAUUGGAUAGUCAAAAAUAUAUAAAAAAUAAAAAAAAUUAAAAUGCCCUUCCGAGCUUCGUAGCAAAACCCAGUACGUAGUUUAAGAAGGAGAGCGGGGCAUGUUUGUAAUCUAACAUUGAAAUACCGUAAGAUCUGGACCUCAAGCUUUGAGUCGGAGUUCACGCGAAGAAUCCAAACCCUUCCCGUAUUCACGAAGCCACCAUCUCAAGAUUCCCCACGCCUGGAUCCUGCGGCCAUCCCUGUCCCUCAUAAAAUGACCAAACUACCAUCCAACUUUCCACUAUCUCCCUCCUGAAAAUAUAUAAUCAUCCGAAUGUCUAGGGAUAUUUCCGGUACAGGGAACGGUAAACGGGAGGUUGGGAACCACGUGAC
rnacentral:lncRNA from 1 species